rnacentral:rRNA from 1 species
ACUCCUACGGGAGGCAGCAGUGGGGAAUAUUGGACAAUGGGCGAAAGCCUGAUCCAGCCAUGCCGCGUGUGCGAAGAAGGUCUUCGGAUUGUAAAGCACUUUAAGUUGGGAGGAAGGGCAGUAAAUUAACACUUUGCUGUUUUGACGUUACCGACAGAAUAAGCACCGGCUAACUCUGUGCCAGCAGCCGCGGUAAU